rnacentral:lncRNA from 1 species
UAAUUAUCAUCAAUUUUUUAACCUUUAUUUAUCAGCAAUUUUUUUUAAUAAGUAAACAAAACGAUGGGGUUCCAGAAUUAUUUAAAAAAUAUAUAAAAUAUAAAAUAAGCAUAUAAACAAAUACAGAAUAAUUAGUUCAUGAAAUUCCCUAUACUACUCUUAUUGAAAACGCUCUUAGAAUUUUUGUAUUUUAUUUUUUAUUGUUACAUAUUACACCUAAUUAGACCCAUGCACCGCAUGGGUCAAAGUUCUAGUGU